UACGAAGGGGGCUAGCGUUGCUCGGAAUGACUGGGCGUAAAGGGCGCGUAGGCGGCUCGUGAAGUCGGGUGUGAAAGCCCGGGGCUCAACCCCGGAACGGCAUCCGAUACUGGCGGGCUUGAGACCGGGAGAGGAGGGUGGAAUACCCAGUGUAGAGGUGAAAUUCGUAGAUAUUGGGUGGAACACCGGUGGCGAAAGCGGCUCUCUGGCCCGGAUCUGACGCUGAGGCGCGAAAGCGUGGGGAGCAAACAGGG
rnacentral:rRNA from 1 species